rnacentral:lncRNA from 10 species
CAGCUCCAGCUCCAGCAAUGGGGUUUCAACACACAUGGGAACAAGAUAUAUUCAUGGAAUGUGCCUUUGAACCUGCAUUCAAAAGAACUCAGACAGAGUUCCAACCAAAGAGAGCAGUUUCAAACAGCCUGUGAAAUCCAAGUAGAUUUCUACCAUACAGAAGUCUAUUUCCUGAUGGAUUCUCUACCCUUUUUCCUGAAUGAUGGACAAAGAGUGAUACGUGUUAUGGAUGGAAGAUAGUGGCCAGCUCAGGAUUGAGUGUCUUCAGAAAUUAUGUCCAAAUGAAUCAUGGACUGAACCCAUUUUGUUAUACUAAAAUUUCCUUUGUGCACUAGAGGUCAUAAAAAUGUUUCACUGCCAAAUCUAGACCACUUUAUCCUCCAAUGAAAUUAUGAUUUCUAAAGCACAAAAUCUAAGAAAAACUCACAUUGGGUAGCAAGCAAGGCCAGCCAGUUCAUCAAUAGCCAGGCAUAAAAGUCUACAUGUUUCAUUUUGCCAAUAAGCUUGUCUGCUUCAUCUGGUGCCAACAACUCAAUCCUCUGAACAUCACAUAUUGAAUAAAGGAACCUUUUCAAAUCUACGGAAUACUUCAGUUCUCAUCUUUCUA